AUACCGGAUAGGACCUCUCAUCGCAUGGUGGGUGGUGGAAAGUUUUUUCGGCUGGGGAUGGGCCCGCGGCCUAUCAGCUUGUUGGUGGGGUGAUGGCCUACCAAGGCGACGACGGGUAGCCGGCCUGAGAGGGCGACCGGCCACACUGGGACUGAGACACGGCCCAGACUCCUACGGGAGGCAGCAGUGGGGAAUCUUGCGCAAUGGGCGAAAGCCUGACGCAGCGACGCCGCGUGGGGGAUGACGGCCUUCGGGUUGUAAACCUCUUUCGACCGGGACGAAGGGAAACUGACGGUACCGGUAGAAGAAGCACCGGCCAACUACGUGCCAGCAGCCGCGGUAAUACGUAGGGUGCGAGCGUUGUCCGGAAUUAUUGGGCGUAAAGAGCUCGUAGGCGGUGUGUCGCGUCGGUCGUGAAAACUUGGGGCUUAACCCUGAGCUUGCGGUCGAUACGGGCAUCACUUGAGUUCGGCAGGGGAGACUGGAAUUCCUGGUGUAGCGGUGAAAUGCGCAGAUAUCAGGAGGAACACCGGUGGCGAAGGCGGGUCUCUGGGCCGAUACUGACGCUGAGGAGCGAAAGCGUGGGGAGCGAACAGGAUUAGAUACCCUGGUAGUCCACGCCGUAAACGGUGGGCGCUAGGUGUGGGGGCCUUUCCACGGUCUCUGUGCCG
rnacentral:rRNA from 1 species